rnacentral:rRNA from 1 species
GACGAACGCUGGCGGCGUGCUUAACACAUGCAAGUCGAACGGAAAGGCCCUGCUUUUGUGGGGUGCUCGAGUGGCGAACGGGUGAGUAACACGUGAGUAACCUGCCCUUGACUUUGGGAUAACUUCAGGAAACUGGGGCUAAUACCGGAUAGGAGCUCCUGCUGCAUGGUGGGGGUUGGAAAGUUUCGGCGGUUGGGGAUGGACUCGCGGCUUAUCAGCUUGUUGGUGGGGUAGUGGCUUACCAAGGCUUUGACGGGUAGCCGGCCUGAGAGGGUGACCGGCCACAUUGGGACUGGGAUACGGCCCAGACCCCUACGGGAGGCAGCAGUGGGGAAUAUUGCACAAUGGGCGGAAGCCUGAGGCAGCACCGCCGCGGGCGGAUGACGGCCUUCGGGUUGUAAACCGCUUUCGCCUGUGACGAAGCGUGAGUGACGGUAAUGGGUAAAGAAGCACCGGCUAACUACGUG